UUCCAACCAAAGGAUCAAGUACAAGUGCAGGUCUUAGGUCAGAAGUUCCACCUAAAUCUUUAGGACCAUAAAAUCUCUGCCUCACAUUUUUUUGGAUGAAAUUUAUAGCUGAAAAAAAUAACAUCCACAAUAAUAUCAUAAUUGUAAGUCUCAAAUAUGAUAGAAAAUAUGUAUCAAUAAAGUAUUACCUAUAUCAGAGGGAGU
rnacentral:lncRNA from 1 species